rnacentral:rRNA from 1 species
UACGGAGGGUGCGAGGCGUUGUCGGAAUCACUGGGCGUAAAGGGGCGCGUAGGUGGCGCGGGCAGUCAACGGUGAAAGUUCGGGGCUCAACCCUCGAUCGGCCUCGGAUACUCCGUGCUUGAGCACUGUAGAGGCAGGAUGGAAUUCCGGGGUGUAGCGGGUGGAAUGCGUAGAGAUCCGGAAGAACACCGGGUGGCGAAGGCGGUCUGGCUGGGGCAGUCUGACACUGAGGGCGCGACAGCGUGGGGGAGCAAACAGGG